rnacentral:rRNA from 1 species
GACGAACCGCGCAAACGUUGUUCGGAAUCACUGGGCUUAAAGGGCGCGUAGGCGGGCUCGCCAGUCAGGGGUGAAAGCCCACGGCUCAACCGUGGAAGUGCCUUUGAUACUGCGAGUCUCGAGGGAGGUAGGGGCGUGCGGAACUUCCGGUGGAGCGGUGAAAUGCGUUGAUAUUCACAGGAACUCCGGUGGCGAAGGCGGCUCGCUGGACCUCUUCUGACGCUGAGGCGCGAAAGCCAGGGGAGCAAACGGG